GGUCUGGUAGCUCAGGGGUAGAGCGAGCGCCUGCAGAGCGCUAGGUCACGCGUUCAAAUCGCGUUCAGACCU
rfam:Stachybotrys chlorohalonata IBT 40285 unplaced genomic scaffold scaffold1144, whole genome shotgun sequence.